GGCACUUAACAACUCUUUUAUUCUUUAAUAAUAACGCCGUGUGCUAGCUUUUGUGGCGUCUUUGUUUGUGAGCUUGAACAUACAGUGUGUUUAAGUGUUGACACUCCGAAAAACACCCGAAGCAAAAAAACUCUUAUUUUUCAGUUCCUCACAUCCCAAGCCUUUAUAAAUAAGUUUUAGGGUUGUUUUGGGGUACACAAGGAACGUGUUUCGCUUGAUCAUUUACUAGCAUUUUGGGGUGAACAUUUUGUUUUCAGGUAUCUCUUUAUCUAUAUAUGCUUUGUUCUUGUGUAAUAUUGUAAUUAUGUAUAAUUGCUGAUCCUUUGUUUUCAUUGCACCUUGGUUGAUUUCUUCUAUCUUUUGGUUUGUAUACUGAGAUGUAGAUUAAUAACAAAGGCACAUGGUGCAUGCUUGGUCCUUGAGUUGGUAUUUGAUCGUUAAUUGGUUUGAUUUUAGUGGGAUUUAACUCUCUUUAUUUGAAUGUUCGUGCAAGCAUUAGGAUUUGGUAGUAGCAUGUAUAUUGUAUAUUUUUUUUUAUCUCGUGGGAAACUGACACAUGCAUGUAUAUUUUAUAUUUUCAAAUACACUCUUUAUUUUGGACUGAAAUUUAUUAAAAAAAAUAAUUAGAGUGUCAUGUCUUUAAUUUUUUAACCAAAGGGUGUCAUUUCUUAUUUAUCCAGUUUUACUCAUGAUUUUAUAAAUUUGAUUUAAUAGUAGAGAGAGUAUUACAAUGAUUAAUUAAUUGUGAUAUUGGAUCAGCUGGUUUGGUAUACCUUAAUCUCGUUUUUCAUUAUGUUUUUCCUUCUUUCGAGUAUUCCCUUUCGAGUCUUUUAAAAAUGUUUUUUUGAAAUAAAAAUAUGUAUUCUCAUCGAUCAAUCACAAGACUUUUUUUAAAAAUUUUUUUUAAUUUUAUAAUAAUUAUUAAAAUUCAUAUGUAACAUUUUUUUAUUAAUUGAUGAAGUACAGUGCUGAAAAAUAAACUUUUGUCAAUAUCAUAUCUAUAUUUGAGCCACUUGGUGUUUUCGCCUUUUCGGUGCCUAAUGUGAACAUGACAUUUAAGGGAUGCCAUAUUUUUGAAUUGUUUAUUAUUAUUAUUAUUAUUAUAAUAACUUUCGUAAGGCACCUAAAGAGUGAAAUACUGAAAUUUGUUCAUGGACUUGUAUAAGGAAAAAAAUUAAGAAAAUAAAAUAAAUUAGGCUUUUUUUUAUAUAUUUUUUCCUACAUGUCUCUUUCCUUGAAAGUAACUCUAUACUAAGUCGAUAUUAAAUUUGGACACCUUUUCUAAUAGAAAUUCGAAUCUUGAUUUAUCAUAUUGUUUUUUUCCAUUAGAUCCGAUCCGUUGGUUUUUUUUCUUUCUUUUCUUUAUAAGCAUUUACAGAGAAGUUUAUGAAAAAUUACCAUAAUUUUCUAAUAAAGUUUAGGAUAAGAAAAUCAAACAUGAUUGUGACAAGGUUCUACUAUAUUUUUACCUCUAUUUGGUACAGUAGUAAUGGUUAUGGAGGUCCAUGCCUAUUACCUACUGAACUUUUCUGUAUGCCAAUAAAACCGGUUGUUGCUUCGAUAUUUAUAGGCACUAGACAAAGGGUAGCGGUGCAGUUUUCAACUUUCCGUGCUACUCGAUACUGAUAAUAUUCUUGACUUAGUAAUUUCUAAGCGGGAUUCAGUGGAGAGAAACAAUUUUCUCCUCAGUGGAACAAGAAUCAACAUCAACAUUUGUAUCUCCAUCAUCUAGUUUUGGAUAAUAUUAAAUAUUACGCAAAAUAUUUUCAUAUGCUUUGUUGCACCCGACAAAAGUAAAAGGAGUUCAUUCUGUGGGAAAGGCGCACUCUUCAACUCAAUUUUAUAUUAUUUCAUAGUUUUUUUUUUGGGACAGAACAUUAAGUGUUAAACUUUACUUUUUUUUUUUCCUUUCAAAUAGAUACCAUAAACUUUAAAAUUAUUAUGAUUGAUAUUUAAUUUUAACUUUUUCAUAAAUCGACACCUCAUUUUUUCAUAUUUAAAAUGUAAUAAAAAAAUAUAAAUUUAAAAGAGAUAUAUAAAAAGGGAAAAUAAUAACAUUAAUAAAAAAAUAUUUGAUUGUUUUAAUUUUUAAUUUUCAAUUUUAUUAUGUUUUAAUGUUUGAAAAGUGAUUUAUAAAAAACAUUAAUAAACAAUUGAGAUUCUUUUGUUAGUAAUUUAACCCCAAUUUAAUAUAAAAUGUUGUUUAUGAAAGGAGUCAUUUUUAAGAAUUAAUUGAGAUCAAAUUGAAAUUAGGUCUUUAUAUGCAAAAGAGAUAAAGUUUAAGGAUUGAUUGAAAUAAAAUUAAAGUUUAUGGUCUCUAUUUGCAAAAGAGAUAAAGUUUAGGGUGUCUUGUAAAAAAGAUAAAGUUUAAGGUACUUAAAUACUCUUUUUUAUUACUUGAUUAUUAAUCGUUGAUUUUGUGACUCGCUCACCAGGAUGCAGUGCAGUUUUGAUGGUUCAUAGUAGUAUUUAGCUAUAAAAUAUAAAUUAGGGUCAAUUUGGAUUAGCUUAUUUAGAAUUAAUUCUAAAAAAGAAAAAUAAGAAGAAAAAGAUGUGAUGAAUUUUUUCGAUUUUCACCCACUAAUCAUUAAACUUUACAUUAGCUAAUCAUAGUAGUAUUUUUUUUCCUACAAGUGUUUUUAGAGAAACUUAUUUAAAUAAGUCUUUAAGGUGUUAUUUGUUUAUGAGAAAAUAUAUUAUAUACUGAUAGAAUAAUUUAUACUCUUAUUUAAAUACAACUUAUACUAUGCAUACGACAAAUUUACUAAUCUUUAUGAUAAGUUAUAUGAACAUUAAUUUGUGAUUGAAAUAAAAUUAUUUUACAACAUUGUAGGAUUGUCACUAUAAUGGCAUUGGCGUUAGUGAUAGACAUAAGAAAUGGAGUCUC
rnacentral:lncRNA from 1 species